rnacentral:rRNA from 1 species
GGGUUGUGAGGUUAAGCGACUAAGCGUACACGGUGGAUGCCCUGGCAGUCAGAGGCGAUGAAGGACGUGCUAAUCUGCGAUAAGCGUCGGUAAGGUGAUAUGAACCGUUAUAACCGGCGAUUUCCGAAUGGGGAAACCCAGUGUGAUUCGUCACACUAUCAUUAACUGAAUCCAUAGGUUAAUGAGGCGAACCGGGGGAACUGAAACAUCUAAGUACCCCGAGGAAAAGAAAUCAACCGAGAUUCCCCCAGUAGCGGCGAGCGAACGGGGAGCAGCCCAGAGCCUGAAUCAGUGUGUGUGUUAGUGGAAGCGUCUGGAAAGGCGCGCGAUACAGGGUGACAGCCCCGUACACAAAAAUGCACAUACUGUGAGCUCGAUGAGUAGGGCGGGACACGUGGUAUCCUGUCUGAAUAUGGGGGGACCAUCCUCCAAGGCUAAAUACUCCUGACUGACCGAUAGUGAACCAGUACCGUGAGGGAAAGGCGAAAAGAACCCCGGCGAGGGGAGUGAAAAAGAACCUGAAACCGUGUACGUACAAGCAGUGGGAGCACAGAGCAAUCUGUGUGACUGCGUACCUUUUGUAUAAUGGGUCAGCGACUUAUAUUCUGUAGCAAGGUUAACCGAAUAGGGGAGCCGAAGGGAAACCGAGUCUUAACUGGGCGUUAAGUUGCAGGGUAUAGACCCGAAACCCGGUGAUCUAGCCAUGGGCAGGUUGAAGGUUGGGUAACACUAACUGGAGGACCGAACCGACUAAUGUUGAAAAAUUAGCGGAUGACUUGUGGCUGGGGGUGAAAGGCCAAUCAAACCGGGAGAUAGCUGGUUCUCCCCGAAAGCUAUUUAGGUAGCGCCUCGUGAAUUCAUCUCCGGGGGUAGAGCACUGUUUCGGCAAGGGGGUCAUCCCGACUUACCAACCCGAUGCAAACUGCGAAUACCGGAGAAUGUUAUCACGGGAGACACACGGCGGGUGCUAACGUCCGUCGUGAAGAGGGAAACAACCCAGACCGCCAGCUAAGGUCCCAAAGUCAUGGUUAAGUGGGAAACGAUGUGGGAAGGCCCAGACAGCCAGGAUGUUGGCUUAGAAGCAGCCAUCAUUUAAAGAAAGCGUAAUAGCUCACUGGUCGAGUCGGCCUGCGCGGAAGAUGUAACGGGGCUAAACCAUGCACCGAAGCUGCGGCAGCGACACUAUGUGUUGUUGGGUAGGGGAGCGUUCUGUAAGCCUGUGAAGGUGUACUGUGAGGUAUGCUGGAGGUAUCAGAAGUGCGAAUGCUGACAUAAGUAACGAUAAAGCGGGUGAAAAGCCCGCUCGCCGGAAGACCAAGGGUUCCUGUCCAACGUUAAUCGGGGCAGGGUGAGUCGACCCCUAAGGCGAGGCCGAAAGGCGUAGUCGAUGGGAAACAGGUUAAUAUUCCUGUACUUGGUGUUACUGCGAAGGGGGGACGGAGAAGGCUAUGUUGGCCGGGCGACGGUUGUCCCGGUUUAAGCGUGUAGGCUGGUUUUCCAGGCAAAUCCGGAAAAUCAAGGCUGAGGCGUGAUGACGAGGCACUACGGUGCUGAAGCAACAAAUGCCCUGCUUCCAGGAAAAGCCUCUAAGCAUCAGGUAACAUCAAAUCGUACCCCAAACCGACACAGGUGGUCAGGUAGAGAAUACCAAGGCGCUUGAGAGAACUCGGGUGAAGGAACUAGGCAAAAUGGUGCCGUAACUUCGGGAGAAGGCACGCUGAUAUGUAGGUGAAGUCCCUCGCGGAUGGAGCUGAAAUCAGUCGAAGAUACCAGCUGGCUGCAACUGUUUAUUAAAAACACAGCACUGUGCAAACACGAAAGUGGACGUAUACGGUGUGACGCCUGCCCGGUGCCGGAAGGUUAAUUGAUGGGGUCAGCGCAAGCGAAGCUCUUGAUCGAAGCCCCGGUAAACGGCGGCCGUAACUAUAACGGUCCUAAGGUAGCGAAAUUCCUUGUCGGGUAAGUUCCGACCUGCACGAAUGGCGUAAUGAUGGCCAGGCUGUCUCCACCCGAGACUCAGUGAAAUUGAACUCGCUGUGAAGAUGCAGUGUACCCGCGGCAAGACGGAAAGACCCCGUGAACCUUUACUAUAGCUUGACACUGAACAUUGAGCCUUGAUGUGUAGGAUAGGUGGGAGGCUUNNAUCCGGGUUGCGGACAGUGUCUGGUGGGUAGUUUGACUGGGGCGGUCUCCUCCUAAAGAGUAACGGAGGAGCACGAAGGUUGGCUAAUCCUGGUCGGACAUCAGGAGGUUAGUGCAAUGGCAUAAGCCAGCUUGACUGCGAGCGUGACGGCGCGAGCAGGUGCGAAAGCAGGUCAUAGUGAUCCGGUGGUUCUGAAUGGAAGGGCCAUCGCUCAACGGAUAAAAGGUACUCCGGGGAUAACAGGCUGAUACCGCCCAAGAGUUCAUAUCGACGGCGGUGUUUGGCACCUCGAUGUCGGCUCAUCACAUCCUGGGGCUGAAGUAGGUCCCAAGGGUAUGGCUGUUCGCCAUUUAAAGUGGUACGCGAGCUGGGUUUAGAACGUCGUGAGACAGUUCGGUCCCUAUCUGCCGUGGGCGCUGGAGAACUGAGGGGGGCUGCUCCUAGUACGAGAGGACCGGAGUGGACGCAUCACUGGUGUUCGGGUUGUCAUGCCAAUGGCACUGCCCGGUAGCUAAAUGCGGAAGAGAUAAGUGCUGAAAGCAUCUAAGCACGAAACUUGCCCCGAGAUGAGUUCUCCCUGACUCCUUGAGAGUCCUGAAGGAACGUUGAAGACGACGACGUUGAUAGGCCGGGUGUGUAAGCGCAGCGAUGCGUUGAGCUAACCGGUACUAAUGAACCGUGAGGCUUAACCUUACAACGCCGAAGCUGUU